rnacentral:lncRNA from 1 species
UUUUUUUUUUUUUGAAAAGAUUGAUCAUUUAUGGAAAUCUAAUAAUGUUUAGUUGUGUUUUCAUUAUUACUAUAAGAAAAUUAGAACCAGAUGUUUUGCAAUGCUUUGGCUUAAUCUUUUUCAUGUUAAAACAAUAUCCUAUCCAUUCUCCUUCUGAUACAUGUUAUCUAUCAUCUUAAACAUACAUUUGAUCUGAUGCAAUUGUGGGAGGUUUCAAGAUAUAUCAUCAUUUGAUUCGUUUUUUUGCAUCAAAUCACCUUAUUUAUUACCAUAGAAAAGCUUGUCCCUACAAUAUCAAUUCAAAAAUCUGUUUUUUCUUGGAAGAUAUUUUAUUAUUAAUAUUAAUAUCUCCUACAUGUUUACCACUUUUGUCGGGAUUGACAUUUUUUUAAGCUUGGGAGUAUGGACCCAUGUUUAUGUACACUCACAUUGAUGCACGACUUAUGCUAUUACAGACAGUUCCAGCAUCAUGUGUUCUUGGUUCAUCAUGGGCUGACUGGAAACGUAUAUUUGCACACACAAAGUAUGUUCUUCUAGUUAAGUUUCUUAAUUCUUUCUAAGUUUGGUUAUGUGAAGUUUUCCACAAUGCAAUUACUUAUUUGAUCCUUGUAGUUACAUUAUUAUUAUACUCCUUGUACUACGUUUAGGCCGAAUGGAUCUGUUGAGUACCUGAUUUGUUUACAAGCACAUGGAGCAGUUAUUGGGGGAUGGUUUGGGGCUUGGCCUAUGCCACUUGACUGGGAGAGGCCCUGGCAGGUAAUCUCUUUUUUCUAGUCCUCUAUCCUUGAGAUAAUUGACCAUUGUAUACUAAAUUCCUAGAGCAGAUAAGAAGCACAGUUCUUACCAAAGCUACAUUUCUUCCACGAACCUCUACACAAUCUCUUCACUAAGUCUUUUAUUUUAUUUUUGCAUAUAUCAUCCCUCUUCAACUUGUUUAAUUCCUGAAGAUGUUUCAAUUAUUUAUAUUUCUGUUAGAGUUUAUGAUGACAUGUUUUUAAAAGCAGCAUCUCUAUUGUUACUCUGCUUGCGAGGUUGUUUCAGAAAGGGAAAAUUUUCCAACAGAAUGACGGACAUCAACUGACUGGCCCCUUGUUAUUUUAUGUUUAUAAUUCUACUUUGUUUUUAUUUUUGUGCUAUACCACUAACAAAAAGAUGGGUCUUAUAUAAAUCUAAAACGUAAGAAAGUAUCAUGAUCUAAGAUGUCCAGAUUCAUCUGUUUACUUGGUAUUGUUUAUCUUGUUGAAGGAUACAAGAAUUGCUCGCCAAACCUAAAAGCUUUAAUAUAGUUAUACAGGAAUAUAAAUUUAUUGAAUGUCUGCCCUCUUAUACGUAUACACUUCAUUCCUCGUUUUGUUCUGUUGUUCUUUAUGUUUUCUUUAUUUGGCUGUUUGGGUAAUAUAUUCAUCUUAAUUUGUAGGAAUGGCCUAUUUCUGUAAGCUAUGGAACAUUAGCUGGUUACCUGGUGGCAUUGGUUGCAUCAUUAGGCUUUGUUCUUGCUCAUCCUAGGUUGCAACAUGUCAAAAAUGAAUGAAGCCCAAAUGUCUGAUUCUGGUGAUUGGUAAGUUGAUAAACUAGCAGACAAUUUUGACACUGUUGAAAUCAUUAAGAAGAGAUAGUAGUAUAAAAGAAGGAAAAGAUAAAUAAGACUCUUAAUAAUAUUAUGAUAAUGUACGAUAUGAUAUUUGUUUAUGGUAAAAUCUAGCUACUAGUAAUUCUAUUCAUUCUAAAAAGGGUCAAAUACGGGGAGUGUAACUAUUACAAGUGAGUAAAAAGAAGACUAACAUCAUCGGGCACAUAAUUUACAAGGAAAAAGAAUCAUCGAUCUGUCAUGAGUUUAAGCGCAACUGCAACCUACAAGAGAAGAAUAAGAUACUUUGUCCGACUUGAAGACCACUUUAGGGAAAUCAUUUAGUUAGGGGACGGUACUAAACCAUUUUAGCAAAAAAUUUAACUUGUUUAUCUUGGAUAUAUCAUGUAAAGACGAUAAUAGCAGCUCUUGUGAUAUGAAUUUAGUUUUUUUUAUUUAGAUAAUGUAAUGGAGAUAAUAACAGCUCUUGUAGUAUGAAGUUUGUUUUGUUUGAUUUCAACAUUUAAUGCUCGACUACUUGUCAUUUUCUCACCGGUUUUUUGCUUGAAGUGUAAUGGCAAUCAAUCAAAUGAGAGAUAUUUCCACUAAAUGUAUUGUAGUAAAAGUCUCUUAUUGAUUAAGAUCAAGAGAAGCGAAGCAAGAGUUCCUUUUUUAUUAGUAUAGAUCCUUUAAUAUCUCUCUUAUUUUUUAUUGUUACAUGAGAGGAUAGAAACUAGAAGGGUCAUAACUUUAAUAUAAUGUACAUAACCCUCAAUCUUUGUUCUCUUUGCAGCAUAGGACUUUGUCUACAAUCCAUUACUAGCCUUCCCAUGCUUGAGAAGCUGCAAAAAAUACAGUAAAUUUUUUCCAUUAAAAUGACUCAUACUAUUAGACACUUUGGCAUACCAUUAAGAAAAGUGGUAAAAGUCUAAGUAAUUUUUUUUUAAUCUUUUUCAAUCCGGGAAUGGACCAAACUAUCACCUCAGUAGACAGUAGCUGUAGGACUAAUCCUUAGAGGAUAUACAGUACCAGUUAAGUAAGUGGCAACCAGGCAACUCUUCUCCCUACAUAUACAACUCUAUUCUACCACGAGGAUUUGAACUCUGAACAUAUGGUUAAAUGACUCAGCUACUAGCAACUUGAACACCACUUUGUUAGUGAUUUUUUCUACCUAUUUUAUUAAUAGUUAUGUAUAUGUAUACAGUAUAAACAGAGUAUUAUGUAAGAUAUAUAGUAAGUGAAACAAAGCUAUGUUUAAUUAGGAGAACCAAUGUACUGACCUGCUUGAGAAAGAGCCCAGUUGCUGUCUUGUUCAAUAUGCCAAGAAAAAUAUCCAAACAAUCCAUUUUGCUUGGCAUAGUCAACCUUUGCAGAUAUACUCUGAGUGUCAUCGUAUCCAUACCAAUCUGUCCCUGUGAAGCAGUAAUUGGUAACAUAUGUGGAAUUGUACACAACUUGCGCCCCAGCAUUUAUAAUAUCCUUGUACUUCACUGCCCCAAGUCCCUGUGUAGCUGUAUCAAACAGUCCAUGGUCAUUAGGAUCUGCCAAACUCCACUUGAAACCAUAGAAAGGUAAACCCAGUGCAAGUUUGCUUUUUGGCACUCCUAACCCAAUCCAUUUAGUGAUACCUUCCUCUGCACUGAAUUGGCCAGUUGGAUUUUUCAAAGGAGCAGGUGGUUGCGUCACGGUUGGAUAACUAUCUGAGGUGAAAAGGUCAUAAGUCAUUACAUUGACCCAAUCCAAGUUGUCUGCAAUAUCCUGACCUGGGUAGUACUGCAAUGGUGUGAUCUGAUCAGAGCCACCCACUGCAGCAGAUAACAGUAGUGCUGGAUUGCCGGAACUACUAGCCUCUUGUGCCACAGCAGCUCUCCACUCUGUGAUGAGUAAACCAAAGUUGGUCUUGUCUGUGUCUGACGAUGGAUACUCCCAGUCAAGAUCAAGGCCAUUGAAGUUGUUAUCUCUGGCUAAUUGGAUUGAAGAAUCUAUGAACGAUUUUCGGCUACUGGCUUGGCUAGCCAUAUUGGCAAAUUUUUGUGCCAAAGCAGAACCACCCCCACCACCAAUUGAUAAAAGGGUUUGCACCGAACUACUCUUUGCCUGAAUGGUUUGAGUAAAAGUUGAGAAACUAGCAGCGUUUGUAGAAGAAAUAGUGACUUGGUUGGUAUUAGAAUCAAGAUCAGCAAAUGCACAGAACAAGUGGCUGAAAUAAGAGGGAUCAAUAUCAGAAACUGCAAGGCCACUAUCAGAAUACCAAUAGCCACCUUUAAUGGCAGCUUUUGCAGAAGAGAACUGGAGUUGGAGAAUCAUGAGGAGAGUGGAAAUCAAAAGGAACGAAUGCUUUUUGGAAUAAGCCAUUUUCUUUGUAGCUGGAGAUGCAUAUUGUCUCGGAUAAGUGAUAUAUAUAUAGCACUUAGCAGCACAUUUUGUUGACUCUUCUCUUGCUUGUUCAUUAAGCUUUUCCCUCCAACCUUAGUGUAUGUUUGGUUUUAUAGUGAGAAAAUUAAAAGUGAUUUAUGUUUAAAAUUGAUUCUGUUUAAAAUUGAGUUGAAGAGAGUGGUUUAUGUUUGAAUACAUUUAUACAAAAGUGAGUUGAACAGUCAAUUUGAGUGUAAAAAUUAAUUUUAGAAUUAGAAGUUUCAAUUUCCAGCUUCAAGUAAAAUCAAUUUUAGAACCAGAAGCUUGAAUUUCUAGCUUCUAAGUAAAAUCAAUUUUUAAUUUAUUGCACAGAAAUGAGCGGCUCCUAGAACUAAUGAUAAAAUUAAAGAUUUUGUCUUUUACCAAAAAAUGGAAGAGUUAGUUAUUAUUAUACAUACAAAUUUUCUAUCUAAUUCUCUGGAUCCAUUAUCCAUAUUCAUAUUUAAAAAAAUUGGGAUUCAUGAUCUAAUUUAAAAAACUUACGUUUCAUAACUUUAGAAUAAAUUUUAAAUUGUAUACAAAUUGUGAUCUAAUUUCGAAAAGUUAGGUUUCAUAGCUCUAGGCCCCCUGACUUUUAGACCUAAGAAAAGUCUUUUUACGAUUUUAUGAAACCUUUAUAUUUUAUAUUAUUUUGAAAUUUACGUAUGUAAAGUUUCUUCUUAAAAAUAUGUAUCUAAGAUUUCAAUGUGAAUGAGUCAAAAUACAUUGAUAGGUUAGUUAUGCAAUUGCAAACCUAACUCGUCAAAUAUCUAAUUAAAUGAGCACACUAAAUAACAAAUCACUAAAAACUCAAACGUAUAAAUUGGAGGGACUUCAUGACGUCCGACUUAAUUUCUACAUGUUGAAUUAGAAUUUAUAGAACUAUAUUACUAUCUUAUUAAUGUAAGAAUUACUUCUAUAUCAUCACCCCUAGAAAAAUAGAGUCGUAUGUAUUCACUUUAUUGUCAUUUAAUUUCACUGCCAACUUAAAUUUUAUAUAUCUUAUCUUACUUAGACUAACACUAAAUUUUUUUUACAACUUAAAUCAAUUUCAACUUGUAUGUAUUCACUUACUUGCAUCCACGGGUUUGAAAGUUCAAACACUACUUUGAUGAUUGUAAGAAAGCAAAUUGAAGAUAACUUUGCAGUUACGUGUGCUUUUACAUUUGAAAAAAGGUGAAAAAAUCCGUUAAAAUCAAUACUAAAUUCAAACUAAGUGACGUUCUUACAUGAAUAAAUCCAGACGAGACAAAAUAAUUUCAUAAGCACUUUCUUGUCAAUGCUGUUUAAAUUGUUUACGAAAGUUACUUUCUUUUCUGUAAAAACUGAUAUGAUACUUGUAUAUUUUACUCUACAAGAGCUGUUGUUGCUUUGGGGGCACUUGUUACCUUUCGGUAAGUGAAAUGAGUUUUGAUCAGAACAGGUAGAUGGCCAGCUAGCAGUCCGUUGAGCAGGUGGUUGACGGCGGGUCGAGCAGCUGCUCCACGGAGNNNCUCUCCUGUAUAGGAGAGCUUAUAUAGCCCCCAACUCUGGGCCAAAGGUCCUCUUAUUGGGUUGGACUUGCCAAGGCCCAAUAAGAUGGACUGCCAAGAUAUCACCCUUAGAUAGUGGGUAGAACAGUAAUCUGCUCCUAUCUUGGAGAGGUUCCACCAUGUUCUGCUGACAUGGAUAUGAUGGGGCAAACCAUGUGGACUUUAGAGGGUAUGAAGUGGACUAGUUCUAGUCUAGUCCAGAACAAGUUUAUUUAGUGUACAGAUUUUUUCUUCUGCUCAGGAUUAAGGUCAUUAUUAAUUAUUGAUGAGAUAGAGGAUCAAAGACUUGUUUAGAUUGAUUUUUUUUUAAUUUAUCUACCGAAAUAAAUACUUGUUAUACUGUUUGAGAUCUCAUGGAAACAACUUACGACAUAUAUAAGCUUUCAAGGUUAACUUAUGUAAACAAAUGAUAUAUCUUAUAUGAAACAACUUAACUUUAAUUCAUCUUUUUUAUUUUUUAUGGAAAUAACUUAUACAUAAACACUUGCGUUUAGGCUAUAUAAGCGCUUAAUUAAGAUGUUUAUCCAAACUGGGCUUAAGUUUAAAUCCUAUUGUCUGGUUAUGCUUUUUCCCUUUUAUUUCUUUUCAGUUUGAAAACAUUGAUCAUAUAUGGAAAUCUAAUACUUUAAGGAAAAAUUAGAACCAGAUGUUUUAUAAUUCAUCUUGUUUUAUGAGAGGUCAAAUAUGUAGGGUACCUAAUUUACAAUAAAAAAGAAUCAUUGAUCUGUCAUGAGUUUAAGCGCAACUGCAACCUACAAGAGAAGAUAUACUUUGUCCAACUUGAUAACACUUUAGGUAAAUCAUUUAGUUAGGGGAAGGUCCUAAAUCAUUUUAGCAAAUUUUUUUACUUGUUCAACAAUCCACUUGUCUUGGUAUAUAAGUGAACGACAGUCCCACACACCGAGACAGCUAAGUAAGUGAACGACAGAACCACUUAUAUACGAGGUUUAUUUUUGUAGCAAUAUACGACGAUUGCUCAACGAUCCACAUAUAAGAUUCUUUUGUUCAUGAAGCUAAAAUUAUUGCAAUAAAAGUCUCCUUAUUUAUUAGAUUAAGAGAAGCUAAGUAAGAGUUCUUUCUUUUAUAACUAUAGAUCCUUCAAUAUCUUAUUCUUAUUUUUUAUUAUUACAUGAGAGAAUGGAAACUAGAAAGGUCAUAACUUUACUAUAAUGUAGAUAACUCAAAACCUUUGUUCCCUCUUCAGUUUGCAGCAUCUCUGUNNNNNNNNNNNNNNNNNNNNNNNNCAUGAUCGAGAAGCUGCAAAAAAUACAGUAAAUUUUUACCACUAUUAGAUAGUUUAACAUACCAUUAAGAAUAAGUGUUAAAAGUCUAAGGGUAUGCUUUUUGUCUAUCUGUUUUUUUUUUUAUCUCGGAAUAGACCCAAGUAUCGGCACAUUCAGUAGCCGGAUGACUAAUCCCUAAAGAUAUUCAGGGCCGGCACAACAAAUCUAUAGACCUAUAGCAAAAUAUGAAGCGAGCCUUUCAAAAAACUAACAAAAUUAGAGGGUUUUUAAUCCUAA